GUCCUCUUCCUCAAGACAGUGUAGUUUGUUUUAUUGCUAAAGAGAUGCUGUCCUUUAGUAUUGUCGAAAAGCCGCCAUUUCAACAAAUGCUCUCUCUCUCUCUUGUCCUUGGUGCACACCCUGCUCUCCUUCACUUGUU